AUGGCGGGGUCGGAGCAGCAGCAGAGGGCGCUUAUGCUGUUUGACACGAGGAUGAAGAAGGCGGAGAUGUUCCGGCCGCUUAUUGAGGGCAAAGUGAGCAUGUACGUCUGCGGCGUGACGCCCUACGACUUCAGCCACGCCCGCGCCUACGUCGCCUUUGACGUCCUCUACAGGAACCUCGCGACGAUCAGCACUACUUGGCGUGCUCUCAGUCAUUCGCCACGUGUCACGCUUUGGACGCUCCAUUUGGAUUUUUUUUUUCCGCACGCGUACCUGAAGUACUUGGGGUAUGAGGUUGAGUACGUGCGCAACUUCACUGAUAUCGACGACAAGAUUAUUAGACGAGCAAAUGAAGCUGGUGAAACGGCAACUAGUUUGAGUAGUCGGUUCAUCGAUGAGUUCCUGCGUGACAUGGUUGAACUUCAGUGCUUGCCUCCUACUCGCGAGCCACGUGUGACGGAGCACACUAAAGAGAUAAUAGAUUUGAUAACCAAGAUAGAGGAAAAAGGGAAAGCCUAUACUAUUGAAGGAGACGGCGUAUACUUCUCCGUCGAUAAUUUCCCUGAAUAUCUUAGUCUGUCUGGAAGGAGCUUAGACCAUAAUCUUCCAGGGUCACGAGUUGCUGUUGAUACAAGAAAGCGCAAUCCUGCAGAUUUUGCAUUAUGGAAGUCUGCUAAGGAGGGUGAGCCAUUCUGGGAAAGCCCUUGGGGCCGUGGAAGACCAGGAUGGCAUAUUGAGUGCAGUGCAAUGAGCGGGCAUUAUUUAGGCCAUGCGUUUGAUAUUCAUGGCGGAGGAAAAGACUUGAUCUUUCCACAUCAUGAGAACGAGCUCGCGCAAAGCAGAGCAGCUUAUCCUGAGAGCGAGGUCAAAUGCUGGAUGCAUAAUGGCUUUGUCAACAACAAUGGCCAGAAGAUGGCAAAAGCAGACAAAAACUUCUUCACUAUCAGAGAUAUUAUCGCUCUGUACCAUCCCAUGGCUCUAAGGCUAUUCCUGAUGCGAACACACUACAGGUCCGAUGUCAACCACUCUGAUGCAGGCCUUGAGUUUGCAUCUGGCCGUGUGUACUACAUUUAUCAGACUCUACAAGACUCUGAAGAGGUUAUAUCCUUGUACCGUGAUGAUGAGUUGGACGUCCCAGUACCAGCAGGCGAUCGGAAGGUGGUUGACGACAACCACGAGAGUUUCCUGAGACACAUGUCGAACGAUCUUCACACAACAGGCGCCCUUGAUGAGCUCAUGAAGCCAGUGAGAGCAAUGAACAACAACUUGAGUGAUCUGAAGAAAUUGCAGCAGAAACUGGAGCAGCAGCAGAAGAAAGAGCCAGAGAAGCAGCAGCAGCAGAAAAAGAAACAGCCCGAGGAGAAACAGCAGGAACAUUAG
rnacentral:rRNA from 1 species